CCUACGGGUGGCAGCAGUGAGGAAUAUUGGUCAAUGGGAGGAAUCCUGAACCAGCCAUGCCGCGUGCAGGACGACGGCUCUACGAGUUGUAAACUGCUUUUGUACCGGGGUAAAAUGCCUUACGUGUAGGGUUUUGUAAGUACGGUACGAAUAAGGAUAGGCUAACUCCGUGCCAGCAGCCGCGGUAAUAAGGAGGAUCCGAGCGUUAUCCGGAUUCAUUGGGUUUAAAGGGUGCGUAGGUUGUUUUAUAAGUUAGCGGUGAAAGACCGAUGCUCAACAUCGGGGCUGCCGCUAAUACUGUAGGACUAGAGAUCGGAUGCAGCAGGCGGAAUGUGUAGUGUAGCGGUGAAAUGCAUAGAUAUUACACAGAACACCGAGUGCGAAGGCAGCUUGCUAGGCCGGAUCUGACACUGAUGCACGAAAGCGUGGGGAUCGAACAGGAUUAGAUACCCUUGUAGUC
rnacentral:rRNA from 1 species